AAUAUGGAGUAUGAAAAGGGAAAAAGAGACUUGAACAGAGAUGUUGCAUGUUAAAUUUUGAUAUGAUCGGAUGAUUAUUGGUGAUAUUACAGCCAUUUGAAAUGUCAGAAAACUCAGU